rnacentral:rRNA from 1 species
UCUUAGUGGCGGACGGGUGAGUAACGCGUGGAUAACCUGCCUUAUACAGGGGGAUAACGGAGAGAAAUUUCCGCUAAGACCGCAUAAGACCACAGCACCGCAUGGUGCAGGGGUAAAAUAUUUAUAGGUAUAAGAUGGAUCCGCGUCCGAUUAGCUAGUUGGUGAGGUAAAGGCCCACCAAGGCGACGAUCGGUAGCCGGCCUGAGAGGGUGAACGGCCACAUUGGGACUGAGACACGGCCCAA